GGUUGUGAAACUCAUUAGAAUAACAAUAUGACUCAUUAGUCUAUGUUAGUCAACGUUUAUUCAUAAAUACGGUCCUUCGCCGUCACGUGUGUAUUGUAUUUUUGCCAAAUCUACCAACAGCAAUUUCCAAUUUAUCCUAUUGUUCGAGUCACGGAUAGGUAACUUUCCUAUAAAACAUUGCUAUUGGUUAGUUGGGCAAAAAUACAAUACACACGUGACGGUGAAGGGCCAGAUUGAUGAAUAAACGUUGACUGACAUAGAUAAUGAGUUAUAUUGUUAUUCUAAUGAAGUUUCACAGCC
rnacentral:miRNA from 1 species